rnacentral:sRNA from 1 species
GCCGGGCAUAGUAGUGCAUGCCUGUAAAUCCAGCAGCUUGGGAGGCUGAGGCAGGAGGAUAACAAGUUCAAAGCCAGCCUCAGCAACUUAGUGAGGCCCUGUCUCUA